rnacentral:rRNA from 1 species
AUUGAACGCUGGCGGCAGGCCUAACACAUGCAAGUCGAGCGGUAACAGGAAGAAGCUUGCUUCUUUGCUGACGAGUGGCGGACGGGUGAGUAAUGUCUGGGAAACUGCCUGAUGGAGGGGGAUAACUACUGGAAACGGUAGCUAAUACCACAUAAUGUCGCAAGACCAAAGAGGGGGACCUUCGGGCCUCUUGCCAUCGGAUGUGCCCAGAUGGGAUUAGCUAGUAGGUGGGGUAACGGCUCACCUAGGCGACGAUCCCUAGCUGGUCUGAGAGGAUGACCAGCCACACUGGAACUGAGACACGGUCCAGACUCCUACGGGAGGCAGCAGUGGGGAAUAUUGCACAAUGGGCGCAAGCCUGAUGCAGCUAUGCCGCGUGUAUGAAGAAGGCCUUCGGGUUGUAAAGUACUUUCAGCGGGGAGGAAGGGAGUAAAGUUAAUACCUUUGCUCAUUGACGUUACCCGCAGAAGAAGCACCGGCUAACUCCGUG